rnacentral:lncRNA from 1 species
GUGCAUUGAAGGUGGUGGAUGUGUUUUUAUAUCGUGCGACAAUUUUUACCUUUCACAGAGUACGUGAACAUCUUAUUGGGCUGAAAGUGCAGGAAUACGCAUACAAUACAUAUUUAUCACUUACUUAAAAAGAAAAUUGCAAUUAAUUGAUCACAUUUCCAAUUUUUCCAACAAAAAAACAAAUUUUACCUGACGCGCCAAUCAUUCAAAAUGGCGGGCUUUUACAAAAGUUAAUACUGCAGCCAUGUGUGCCUUAAAAUUACUUAAUAAGUAAUAAGUUCAUUCCAUUUGCUUAUAUUACAUAUUAUCCUACGCAUAUUUCCUUUAAAAUUUUAUUAUUUUAAGUGCACUUGACCGAUUUUACAUUUUUUUUUCACUGGCCACGUGCGUUUG